rnacentral:rRNA from 1 species
AACGUAGGAGACAAACGUUAUCCGGAGUUACUGGGCGUAAAGGGCGUGUAGGCGGUUUCGUAAGUCUGGCGUGAAAUUUUUCGGCUUAACCGGGAAAGGUCGUCGGAUACUGCGGAACUAGAGGACGGUAGAGGCGUGUGGAAUUCCGGGUGUAGUGGUGAAAUGCGUAGAGAUCCGGAGGAACACCAGUGGCGAAGGCGACACGCUGGGCCGUACCUGACACUGAUGCGCGACAGCAUGGGGAGCAAACAGG